ensembl:lncRNA
AAGACAGAGAUGCAGUUGCCAGCCAGAUGCAGAGGAAACAAGAUGAGAAUGCCUUACUGAGAAAAGUGCAACUGCGAAACUGAACUUCUGACAGCAGAUUCAUGGCCGGGAGAGGAGUCCCCUCCCACACCCAGCAGCCAGCUCUUCAGCAGAAGACUGCCAUAUAACAAAAAAGCCUGAGAAAUUUAGGUGUGUUUGAACUUCAUAGAAGAUGUCUCUCUGAGCCUGGGGUUGGAGUUGCAGCUCUGACUUCCUGGCUAGCAGGUAACCUGGCAAGCCAAUGUCUCCGUCAGUGAGAAUGGUUCUGAAAUGACCCAUGUGCCUCUUGACUUUGCUGAGCCUGGGAAUGCUGUGGUGCUCACAGAGGUAGGAGAAACGGGUGCCGAGACUCUGAAUGGAAGUGCAGCAUCUACAAUCCGGCCUGGCCCUACGUCACCCCUUGUCCUGGCAGCAGCCUCAGAGAGAGUUUAUUGACAAAGGAGAAGGAAGCUCUCAGCUCCCUGGUAUGGUAUGACUCACUCACUCCAAGUCUGUGGGGUGCUUCACAGGGCCACCCGCCUGCCGGAACAGGAAGGCCCUUAUUGUGCUCAAUCGUUUUUCCUGAAUGCCUUGUUCAACAACAGCAAAAGGAAACAUUACUGUUUGGCUCCCAGCCAGGCUGGCCACUUGGUACUUACAGAGCAUAGAAUGCAGAAGUCCGGCUCAGCCAAGACACACACAGAGACACAUGGCUGCAGCUAUUUCUCAGUGUCAGAGGAAAUACUAUGUCCUGCAGUAAACAAUCCUGGGUGAUUUAGGACAACUCCUUUUAGCAGCAGCUGCCCUAAACUGAGCCUGACCGGUUUGUUUAACAGACCUGUUUCACAUCCAAGAGCCCCAAGGGGGCCUUGACACCACCACCCACUGAAUCCUACAGGAAUAGAAUGUCAAAGAUCCUGCCUGGUGGCUGCUCCAGGGUUCUGAUCGCUCCAGACAGACUGCCAGGGGGGUGGGAGAAAUGUGGCCAAGGGCUCGGGAAGAAGAAAAACAGAAGGCAAAGGUAUAAAGAGAAUGCAGUUAGAAAGCUCUAGGCUACCAGCCUCUGGGUGCACUUACAGGCACACAACUACAAGGCAGAGGACACUACCACCAAUGGACUAUAGGGUCAUCUCUGUACUCAGUUACAAACCUGGGCUCAUUAGUUCUUCCCCCACUCUUCUCAGCUGUUACUGCCUUCCCUAGGGGUGGUCUUCUACUAGACUCAGGGGCCAAGUUCUGUUAGGACUUGAGGUAAAAAAUGGACACAGAGGUACGGUAGCCAGAACGCUUUUCUCUUCCGUUCACUAUUGCUCAGCCCCCACAGGCCCCUCCUGCAUCCGCACUUUCACAACUACGGCCCCACUGUGGUUUCCUGGGCCUUUCUUAUCUUUUGCUCCAUAAAACAAAACUGGAGAUGCAGAGAAAGGGGGGUAGGGAUGGGCAUCUCAGGAGGAGGCAGAUGCUGCACUGCUGUUCCUUCUGGACUCGCCCCAGCUCUUGUUCUUUGCCUUUCAUUUUCAGCCCUUCGGGGACUGAAGAUACACUUGCACCUCUGAGAGAGGUAUGGAUUUCCUAGUCCCAAACAGGGCGGUGUGUAUGACGCCGGCAUUUGGGACCCAUCAUAUCUAUGCAACGCGCUUUAUGGCAGGUAGAGGAAUUGGAGGGGAUGACCAUUGUGAUGUCCAGUUCCCUGCAGAGGAACAGCAGAUAAGGUCAGGCUGGAGUCUGUGUGACAGGCCUCAUCUCUGCAGUGUAGCUGAUGAGUAAGAGUCAGGGCUCCCAGGAGAAACAGCUGAACUCAUCCCACGGAGGACUCUCGUGUGUGUCACACCAUUAUCCCAGGUCACAACCAUCUACAACCGUAUCUGUGAUGGUUAACUUUGGUUGUCAAGUUGAUGGGAUUUAGAACUACUGAAGAGACAAGCUUCUGGGCAUGUCUCUGAGGAUGUAUUUUGAUUAGGUUAAUUAGGUGGGAAGCCAGUGUCCAUAGCUCUUGCUUCCUGACUGUGGAUGCAAUGUGGAGAGCAUCUUUAAGUUUCUGGCACCAUGCUUUCCACACAGUGAUAGAUUGUACUCUCAAAUUGCAGGCCAAAAGGAGCCCUUCCUUAAGGUCCCCCCAGAGUAUUUUGUCAUAAUCACCAAAAAAUUAAGUAAUGUACAUCGUUUUCCUUCAAAUCUCAUAUUUGCUUACAGAGUAUACCGUCAGUGUAUGUGAGGCAAAUGGAGUCAUCUGGCUUAUUUCUUGGAGUCAGAGUGAAACCUCAUUACAGAUGGGUGCUUGCUUAGAAUCCCAAACCCUGGGGACAGGGCAAAGGGUUAAGGUCAGAAAAACAAUUCAUACAUAAUCUUAUUACCAUUGAAGCCUGCCUUUAGGAAAACUUAAAGAUGCAUCUGCAACUUAAAUAUUUAGAGGCAAGAUUUUGAGGAAUCCUCCUUCAUUCCAGUGUGGAAAAUCCUGUAUGGUUUUUUGGUGUUGUUUGUUUCAAUUAACACUGAGGCACACAGGACAGCAGAGAAUUAAUCAUGUGGACACCUGAGCAGUAAAGUCACACCCUAAGCCAGGAGAGAAAGGGCUGUCUACAGAGGGAGAUAGGGAAAGGGUGUCUGCAUAUUCAGAGGAUGGCUGUGUCUGAUGGAGAACAAUUCACCUAGAACAGGAACAAGGGAAGCCUUGUGUUCUUUGGCAGAGAGGAAGACGGUGAGUUCCUUCUAGGAAGGCUGAAGGUAUAUCUGGGCAGCCAGAUCUGAGUGUGGAGUUCAGAGAAGCCCAGAUGGAGACUUCACUUUGAUCAGCAGGAAAGUCAAGACCUGAGUGACUGAGCAUGAGGUCAUCGAAGGAGAUAGGUCAGGGUGAGAGGCAGCAUGGGCCUCCUGCAAGAGGCAACUGGACAGAGACAAGACGGGAGGCUACAGUAGAGGACCCUGGGAACAGAGUGUCUUUGCAGACUGUUCUCAGCAGAUGUGCCAGCAGAUGUGGAUCUGGUGUGACCAGGCAGUGAAGCUGGUGUCCAGCUGUUAAUCAAGGCCUUGCUGUUUUUGUUUUUGUUACUGUUGUUUUUCUUAUAAUGCCACUGGCCAUUUGUAUUCUGCCAUCAAGGAUCUUGCUUUUUAAAAAUGUUAUUCUUAAUCUAAUUAAGAAGUCAUGGGAGGUGCUAUGAAUCCUGUUUUAUUUUAUAAAUAAAAUUAUUUAUUGUUGUUCUUUUACUUUACAUUUAGUUUCUGGACUCCUGAGCAAGACCCCAUCUCAGGACUUUGUUUUGUAACUGCAAAGUAUUUGAUAACUUGGGGGAUGUAGGGAGUGCAAAUCAAUAUUGGGACUAAUGUUUUCAUGAUCCGAAUAUCUUGGAAUAUUCAUUCACAGCACAAAGGUGCCUUCGUUCUUGCUACAAUGAGGUUGACAUUCC